GCCAGGGUUGUGGCUAAGUGGUAGAGUGUUUGCCUAGCAUGCGUAUGGCAUUGGUUUCGAUCCCUGGCA
rnacentral:tRNA from 1 species